rnacentral:misc_RNA from 1 species
AAGUCGUAACAAGGUUUCCGUAGGUGAACCUGCGGAAGGAUCAUUAACACGUAUCCACGUUUAACCACCCGUGCACCUUCAUUUUAUACCGUCGUGUCAUGAAGCUUGCGAUGUUCUACUUUUGCCUUGCGGUUUGUCGAGCUGGUGUUGUGGACGACAAUCUAUCUUGGGAGGCCCUUGUGGGGUGGUUAGCGAAGCAACCUCUGUCCAUGAGAAUGUGUCUUCGGGGUAGCUUGUUGUUCUCAUUUGCCAGCUUGUCGUCUCGAUGUCAAAUUCCUGACUCGCAAGUUUUGUGUCCGCGUCCCAGUUGUUCUUACCCACCGCGUACCAAAAGUGACGCAAUUCAACCGUGCGCAGGCCAAAAGGCCAGCGUCGGAAACCCGCACAACUGUUAACAAUGGAUAUCUUGGCUCUC